rnacentral:rRNA from 1 species
GAUGAACGCUGGCGGCGUGCCUAAUACAUGCAAGUCGAGCGAACAGACGAGGAGCUUGCUCCUCUGACGUUAGCGGCGGACGGGUGAGUAACACGUGGAUAACCUACCUAUAAGACUGGGAUAAUCUCGGGAAACCGGAGCUAAUACCGGAUAAUAUAUUGAACCGCAUGGUUCAAUAGUGAAAGACGGUUUUGCUGUCACUUAUAGAUGGAUCCGCGCCGCAUUAGCUAGUUGGUAAGGUAACGGCUUACCAAGGCAACGAUGCGUAGCCGACCUGAGAGGGUGGUCGGCCACACUGGAGCUGAGACACGGUCCAGACGCCUACGGGAGGCAGCAGUAGGGAAUCUUCCGCAAUGGGCGGAAGCCUGACGGAGCAACGCCGCGUGAGUGGUGAAGGUCUUCGGAUCGUGAAACUCUGUUAUUAGGGAAGAACAAAUGUGUAAGUAACUGUGCACGUCUUGACGGUACCUAAUCAGAAAGCCACGGCUAACUACGUG